CUUGAUCUUGACAUCCUACGUGGAUAACUGUGGUAAUUCUAGAGCUAAUACAUGCACCAAAGCUCCGAAUUUUUGACGAGCGCAUUUAUUAGAUUAAAACCAAUCGGGUUUCGGCCCGUUUGUUGGUGACUCUGAAUAACUAUAGCUGAUCGCAUGGUCAAGAACCGGCGACGUGUCUAUCAAGUGUCUGCCUUAUCAACUGUCGAUGGUAGUUUAUGUGCCUACCAUGGUUGUAACGGGUAACGGAGAAUAAGGGUUCGACUCCGGAGAGGGAGCCUGAGAAACGGCUACCACAUCCAAGGAAGGCAGCAGGCGCGCAAAUUACCCACUCUCGGCAUGAGGAGGUAGUGACGAAAAAUAACGAGACCGUUCUCUAUGAGGCCGGUUAUCGGAAUGGGUACAAUUUAAACCCGUUAACGAGGAUCUAUGAGAGGGCAAGUCUGGUGCCAGCAGCCGCGGUAAUUCCAGCUCUCAAAGUGUAUAUCGUCAUUGCUGCGGUUAAAAAGCUCGUAGUUGGAUCUGCGCCUCAGGACUUGGUCCGCCCACUGGGUGAGAACUGGGCUCCUGGGCUAGUUCUGCUGGUUUUCCCUGCGUUGCCUUCAUCGGUAGCGUAGGGUGGCUAGCGAGUUUACUUUGAAAAAAUUAGAGUGCUUCACGCGGGCUUAUGUCUGAAUACUCGUGCAUGGAAUAAUAGAAUAGGAUCUCGGCUCUAUUUUGUUGGUUUUCUGAUCUGAGAUAAUGGUUAAGAGGGACGGACGGGGGCAUUCGUAUCGCUGCGUGAGAGGUGAAAUUCUUGGACCGUAGCGAGACGUCCGACUGCGAAAGCAUUUGCCAAGAAUGUCUUCAUUAAUCAAGAACGAAAG
rnacentral:rRNA from 1 species